UCAACCCAGCCAGGCAGAUGACAGAGAUGCCCGGUGGAGGGAGGUCUGCUCCCUGGGCUCUCCCCGGGCUGCGACGUCGUCCUGUUCCACAGCCGGUGUCCUCUGCAGGGCUUCAGGUGGGGGGCAGAACAUUAGGGCCUCCGUCCACACACCAGCGUCCUAGAUCGACUGUUCUGCUUGUCGGUGGUAUUGACCCAAGCCUGGGAGGGCAGGCCUGGGUCUUCCUCAGUUGCGAGGCUCUGUCCCGGCUGUAUCCUGGGCAAGAGUGAGUGGAAGUCCGUCCUGGUGGAGGGGAUGAGCUGGCCAGAUUCCUCCUGCCCUGGAGCAGACAGAGGCCACCUGCCUUUGACAGAGGUGGCCGCAAACCUGGCCACAGGGAGCAGAGGUGACUGGGAUUAACCUGGACCCUGCCGCUCCCCCACCUCAGCCCCCAGCCUGGGUGCGGGAGAUUUAGGUGAGCUGCAUAUCUUGGGGCCUGCCCAUGUUUCUGAGUUCUCACUGGGGAGGCUCUGAGAACUUUCACUUCAGACACAGCGGACCGAACCCAGAGAAGCAAACUUCCCAACCUGCGCUAAGACUGGUUUCCAGGCCAGCACUCACGUGAGGCGGGUCUGAACCCCUCCCCAGGCUGGCAGCACAGCAUCCCUGGAGGAAGCUCCAAAACCAGAGGGGCGGAACAAGUGGGGUGCAGCCCCAAGCUUCGCAAGUCAUCCCUAAAGCCCACUACUCACCUCGAACAAGGACAACCUGCUCAGCGUGGCCUGAACCCAUGGCAUUGGUGACUGUGCAGAUGAAGGUGGUGUUGACCAGCUUGUCCACCGAGUGGAUGACCAGCUGGGGGCCGCGGGCUACAGCUGAGGCUGGGAAGACGCCUGAAGUCCUGGAGGGUGUGGGGAUCACAUGAGGGGGACGAUAGGGUCAUAGACUCUGUCCCUGAUGACAUAGCCCUCAGGAGUCAAAUUCCAUAUACCUAAAAAUACUGUUUGAGACC